rnacentral:lncRNA from 1 species
UAGAGCCCAGUUCCUGUUUUUUUGUUCGUUUUUUUUUUUUUUUUUUAGCCGCCUUCAUUUGGAUACUGGGGACUUCUUUUCCACUUCUUCUUCUUCUUCUAUUUUAUUUUGAGACAGAGUCUCACUCUGUCACCCAGGCUGGAGUGCAGUGGUGCGAGCUCAGCUCACUGCAACCUCCACCUCCCAGGUUCAAGCGAUUCUCCUGCCUCAGCCUCCUGAGUAGCUGGGAUUACAGGCACCCACCACCACGCUCGGCUAAUUUUUGUAUUUUUAGUGGAGAUGGGGUUUUACCAUGUUGGCCAGAGUGGUUUUGAACUCCUGGCCUCAAGUGAUCCACCUGCCUUGGCCUCCCAAAGUGCUGGGAUUACAGGCAUGAGCCACCGAGCUCAGCCUCCACUUCUUAUUUUGAUUCUUUUCUGUUUUGAUGGUGAGAGGAAAGGGUGAUUUACCCAAUACUGUCACAGAAAAAUGAAACUGUGACUGGUUUUCACAAUGUAUGUAGCUGAUCUCAUGUUCUCCUAUUAUUAUGUUUCUGACAGUGAUAAAAUAUCACUCUCCCUCCCUGGGGCAUUAGAGGAGUCCUCACCCACCCACCUCCUACACAAGUAUCUUUUAGGGACAGUGGCUCACCAUUGUGGACUUUUUGAGUGUCCACCUGAUAUUACAAGUUGCAUUGACCAGAACACAGAUUUUGCUCUUCUGUGUCAAUACCCAUUUCUUUUCUGAAGGUCAGAAGUUGGUUAAGGGUUUGGGGGACCAGCUAGACACUCUUCUUAGUCCCAUGGAGCUGACUGGAAGUUCCAUGAGGGGAGGAAAUUGAUGUCAAAGUGUCAUUUUAAAGCUUAAGCUGAAAGUUUAUUUUUUAAAUUCUCAUUCAUUCAUUUAGCAUAUAUUGAUUGAGCAUCUACAAUGUGCCAGUUGUAGAAUUCCAUCUCAGAAGAGACUUGACUUGUGGAUGGUGGAGGGGCAGUCCUGCUCGGAAGCAGAUGAUGUGAAAUGUUCCUUUCCAGUCUGGUUCACGAUGUUUAACAGAUUUGUCAGGUCACCACUGUGACCCCAAGCUUUGCUGGCAGAUUGUUAUAUAGUAUUUACUGAGAGCCCUGCUAUCUGGUAAAGGCAGUUAAAAAGCCUGCAAUCUCGACUCAUUUCCAGCAUGAACAGACUGGUCCUUGCUGCUUUACACAAUAAUCAAAGCUACCUUUUAUGGCGUGCUCGCCACUCCCAAGCACUGGGCGAAGUGCUUUACCCGUCUUCCCCUCCGCGAUGCCUCAUGCCCACUUUAGCAGAUAGUACUGUUAGCAUUCCCAUUUUACAGUGGAGGAAGCUGAGGCUCAGAGAGGUUAAGCAACUUAGCUGAAGGCCACACCACCAGCGAAGUGCCUGAGCCAAGAUUUGGACUCGAGUCCAUGGGACCCCCACGCUCGUGAGCUGACUGCUCUGCUCCACUGGGUCCCUUCAUGAGGUCGUCCCACAGCACUGCUAGUUCCAGGGCGAGUGCCAGCACAUGGCCCCACUGGGAGCCGGGGCCUGACUUAGGUCUACUGGAAAAAGUGUCACCUUUGGGGACACUCAAGGACAGGCUGGUUGGUUUCGUUGUGGAUUUUAUAUACUCAUGCCCUAACCCUGUGUUCCUGGUUUCUAUAAGGCCCCGGGGAAGGUGCAAGGAAUUUGCAAAUAGGGCCUGUAUGACUUAUUUCCUAGGACACGGGAAGCUUUUCUUACCUCCUUUCUACCCUCUUCUCCAACCUGAACUCCCAAGUUUCUUCUCCUGAAGGUCUUUGCACUAUAAGCGCCAAGGAGCCCGUGUGCGUGGCAGGGGCGGCUGGGAGGGUAUCUGGAGAACCUUAGUGAGGCCUCUGGCCUAGCCAGAGAGGCAAUAAGCUUGGGGACGUUCCGUUCUGGGUUCUGACGUUGUUGGUUCUGACGUCGUUGUGCUCUUUUGUAAGAGGAAUUUCAUACCUUGGAGACGCUUUGUACAUAUUUGUAAUGACUUUAUUAAAAAACUGAUUGUGCACUUCU